UAUAUAUAUAUAUAUAUAUAUAUUAGAGUUGGCUAUGUAAUAUGUAUAUUUGAAGUAAUUUUGGAGAUUAGUCCUGUGUGUAAGUUUGGAGAUUUGUAGUACUGUGGGUGCCAUAUAUGCCUUGUAUUAUAAAAGCAAGUGUUAGAUCAAUUCAUUGUUAUUGUUUGAGAAAUUCAUAUAUAUAUAUAUAUAUCAAUUUUUUAAGAACUCCACACAAUAUUUGUUUUGGAAAGAGGGAAAAGGACAUGAUGAAAAACGAACAUAUGAAUGGGAUCUUUGGAGAAGAUUCAUUGGGUAAAUUUCAGAGCACACUGGGUUGGAGUUACCAAACACUAAAAUUGGCACUAUUGGAAGAAAUGUUGUAGAAAGACAACCGAGCUGGGAAGCAGCCAUCACCUAAUGUAGAUUGGAAGACAAAGGAGUCACCAGAUUUUGAUUCUAUGGGUGGAAAAAAUCAACUUAAUCAAUUCUCAAGGGACUGUAAUACCUGUGGAGGUGAAUGGAGGACUGUAGAGUUGGUUAAUUUCAUUUUGUAUUUCAUGAUUUUCUGGAUCAGGAAAAUGCAGGAUUUUUUUGGAACCAUUGAUUGGUCUAAAAUUCCAUCCUUUUUUGUCUGUGUGUUUCAAAUAAGUUGCAAAGUAAAAGUCCAUAAUUUUGGAUCCUCAAAUGAAGUAUGUAGUUAAGAAAUAUUGGACAUGAAAACUGAGCUGCGACAAUUUUGUUUCUCCUUUCUUGACUUAAUUUUCUCGCAUCGAUUGUUCUUAAAUGACAUUAUUUGUCAAAAUUUUAGCUUAAUA